rnacentral:lncRNA from 1 species
UCAACAUUUUUUGAUGAGGCUAUUCAUAUUAUAUGCAUCAAUACCUAUAUGGCUCAACAUUUUUUUUGAUGAGGCUAUUCAUAUUAUAUGCCUGACUAUUCGCUGAUCCGAAAAGUUAUAGCUAAAAUUAUUGUUGGCUGAUUUAUUAUGAGAGAAAAACACUGAUGGCUGGUAGAAAAAGUACGGCAUAUAAGAUAAGCGACCUAGCUGCCCCCAACCUCCCUCCGCCGCGGUCCCCUGUCCUCCCCGGCGUGCUCGGCAACGGCAGGGCCGUCUACCUCCCCCUCCUAGUUGCCCCCAACCUCCCUCCGUCGUCAGUCCCCUGUCCUCCCCAGCGUGCUCCCUUCCUCCCUUGUUCCCCUUCUCCUCCUCCUUGUAAGAUCCUUGUAUAUCCUUUAGGAGUCCCACGAUGGGUUCUCCCCUGGUGGUCACCUUCGUCGUCACCGUCGCUGCGGCUGCAGCUCCCGUCGCCGCCGAUGAGGCUCCAACAAAGGUACGUUUAAAUAAAAUAAAUCUGCUCCUCCGCAGCACGGCUCUCUCCCCUCCACCUCCACCUUGCGUACCUCGUGUCGCCUUCUAGAUCCGUGCUCCUCCGACCCGCAUCCAUCGCAGCCCGCCUUUGCCUCCACCUCUACUUUGCAGCCAUCGAUCCUGCCGAUCCAGAUAGCUCCUUAUCCAGCGUUGGCGCAAUGACUUCGUCUCCAUUUGGGACCUGACUUUGAGCUUCAUCCUCUACGUCCGGCGACGGCAACAAACUUACCCUCUGGUCGCUCGGCGCACGCUUCCUCAACGACUCCAUCGCCCCAACUUCAACCGACGCUUGGCGUGGUCUUCCAUCUGGGUGUAUGCGCCAUCGGCGCCUCUAUGGCCCAUCGCUGGUGAAUCCGUCGUCAUCAACGUCUUCGUCAUAGCCGCUGUUCUUAUCCGGUCGUUGGACCUCAUUGUAAUUCAAACUUCCUUGGAGGACCUUUGUGUAAAAUGGCUGCUUAAUAUAUAAUAUAUGCAGUUGUCAAAAAAAUAUUAUAUGCC